GAAGGUGAGAGGAAAGGCUUCGGUGCUCGGGGAGGGGCCUGCGGCCCAUCAGCUACUUGGAGAGGUAACGGCUCCCCAAUGGCAACUGACGGGUAUGGGGUGUGAGAGCAUGGGCCCCCACGCUGGGACUGAAACACAGCCCAGACUCCUACGGGAGGCAGCAGCAGGGAAUAUUGCUGCAAUGGACUGGAAGUCUGACGCAGCGACGCCGCGUGGAUGAUGAAGGCCUUCGGGUUGUAAAAUCCUUUUCCGUGGCGAUGAGACAGGACACUAACCUGGGAAUAAGCGUCGGCUAACUACGUGCCAGCAGCCGCCGCGUAAUGACGUAGGACGCGAGCGUUAUCCGGAUUUACUGGGCGUAAAGCGCCUGCAGGCGGUCAGGUAAGUCGGUUGUGAAAGCCCCGUGCUCAACGCGGGGAGGCCAAGCGAUACUGCGUGACUUGAGGGCGGAAGAGGGGAGUGGAAUUCCCGGUGUAGCGGUAAAAUGCGCAGAUAUCGGGAGGAACACCAGUGGCGAAGACGGCUCCCUGGACCGCACCUGACGCUCAGAGGCGAAAGCUAGGGGAGCGAACAGGAUUAGAGACCCUGGUAGUCCUAGCCCUAAACGCUGGAUGCUAGGUGUAGGGCUGAUGAGGCUCUGUGCCGGAGCGAACGCGAUAAGCAUCCCGCCUGGGAACGACGGCCGCAAGGCUAAAACUCAAACGAAUUGACGGGGACCCGCACAAGCAGCGGAGCGUGUGGUUUAAUUCGAUGCUACACGAAGAACCUUACGUGGGUUUGACAUGCUGGUGGUACCGAACAGUAAAGGGGAGGGACCGUUCGGGGAGCCUACACAGGUGCUGCAUGGCUGUAGUCAGCUCGUGCCGUGAGGUGUCGGGUUAAGUCCCGUAACGAGCGCAA
rnacentral:rRNA from 1 species